CCCUUCUUUCCGCGCAUGCGCGGCCGGCCGGAAGCGGGGUGGGGGAAGACGGCGGUGAUGGCGAUGGCGGAGAAGUUCGACUCUCUGGAGGAGCACUUGGAGAAGUUUGUGGAGAACAUCCGGCAGCUCGGCAUUAUCGUUAGCGACUUCCAGCCCAGCAGCCAGGCUGGGCUCAACCAGAAAUUGAAUUUCAUGGUGACGGGCUUGCAGGAUAUCGACAAGUGCCGGCAGCAGCUUCACGAUAUCAGCGUGCCCUUGGAAGUUUUUGAAUACAUAGAUCAAGGCCGCAAUCCUCAGCUUUACACUAAAGAGUGUCUGGAGCGAGCUUUGGCUAAAAAUGAGCAAGUAAAAGGAAAAAUAGACACAAUGAAGAAAUUUAAAAGUCUGUUAAUUCAAGAACUGACAAAGGUGUUCCCAGAAGACAUGGCUAAGUACAAAGCUAUUCGAGGAGAAGAUCCUCCUCCUUAAGCAGGCCUUUGAUAGCUCUAAAAAUGUUAAUUCCAUAAACUGACACCACUCUAUAAAAACACUGAUUGGAGAGAGGAGGAACCCAAGCCGUCAUAACAACUGUACUAAAAAUGGCAGUGAUGGACUGUAAAGGAGGUUGAUGAUUGCUGAUGGUUCUGGUCUGAAGCUACUGAAUCUUUCUGAAGACUUUUACUCAAAGAUUGCAGUUGAAACUUCCUAUGGUCCCUAGGAGCUGUUGAAGCAAGGCUUGUGACUGGCAAGUGGGAUGUAUACAGGGCAUGAGCAAAGAAGGUAAGAGUAUUUUUCAGGUAUGUAUAAUGUGGUGGGCAGCAGAGCUUGAGAGCAAUAAUGUUGGCAGGAGGCAGGUGAAACUGUUUAAACAGUAAUUGAGAGAGAACACUUACAUGACAAGAGGCCAGUAGAUACUGGUCAGGAUACUGGAGUAUUCUGGCUCCUAGCGCUGAUACAAGCUUGUGUGUCAGACUUGGUGGGGUAGCACACUUAAAAACUGGUGCUUCCAGGAAGCCUUAUUUUUAUUCCAAAAUACUUUACUCUGGUUGUGCAAAUUCUCUUAGAAAUUCACAUUAAAAAAAAAAGUUUCAAAUAGCAAGGACAAUUUAUCUGUAUGAAUUUUUGUAUCUGUAAACUUUUCAGGGUGAGUCUCCUAAUUCUUUAGAGCAUCCUUGGUAGCUUUAAUUUUUGUAACGUCAACUUAGGAAAAAAAAUGAAUGCACUCUAGAAAUCAAACGAAAACAAAACACUUAAGAUUCCUCUGUAGAGCGAGCUGGCAUUUUGUUUGAAAGUAGACUCACUGGGGAAGCACUGGAACAGGUUGAACAUAUAGGUGGUAGCAUCUCCAACCAUCUCUGGAGGUUUUGAAGGCUCGCCUGGACUAGGUCCUGAGCAGCCUGAUCUAAUGUAGCAGUUGGCUCUGCUUGGAGCAGGAGCUGGGCUAGGUGAACUCCAGAGGCUUUUUCCAAUCAAUAUGAUUCUGUGACUGUGAUUCAAAUAAUAUGGUUCGUAAGUAUAAAAAGGAUAAAGGGUAGGGGCUAAAAUUGUUGGAAGAGAAAUCUGGAUUAGGCAUUAAAAACCAAUCUUAUCAUAAAGCUUGCAAAGCAAUGGUAUGUUGAGGAAGUAUAGUUUCCAUCAGAAGAACAUCAUUCAUGAGACAUUGAUGUAGUUGAUUGUAUCUUAAAGGUGGGGGAGAAACAAGAUGACUUCUUGAUGUUCAUUCCAGCCCAUUUUUGACCAUAGGAUUUUGCCAUUUGGGAAAAAAAAAUCGGUAUGGAUUAGCAUGAAGUAUUUCUUGAAGGAGAGCAAGGACAAGAGGCAGUGAGCCUGAGUUGUAAGGACGGAAAUUUGAUGGACAGAAGGAGUAAGUGCUUCCCUCUGAGACUGGUUUAGCACUGGAACAGGUUCUCAGAGUGGCUGCAGAAUUGCUGUCCUGAGAGAUUUUCCUGUGUUGUCUGUACAAAGCUCUAAGCGAUCAGACAUAGAUUAAAAGUUAGCCCUCCUUGGGGAAGGCAACUGAACUAGAUAACCUGCAGAGGUCCCUUCCAACCAAUUUUUUUCUGUUUUCUAUGAUUCUAUUACCUUACCUUGUCACAAUGAAAGGUUUUUGACUACUCGGUCUUAAUGCUGAUUUUUUUUUUUUUUGUUGCAGUAUGCUGCACAUGAUAGUGGGUAUUUAACCAGUGCCAGGGACCUUUGCUUUUAUGUAGUGUAAAUUGUGAUUAGUACCUGUGCCUGUAGGUGAAGCACUGAAGAGGUGUUGCAAGAAGCUUUUUCAUUUCCUUUUCAAUGCGUUGGGUUGCGAGCAAAAAUGGUUUUAAAGAUGUUUGGGAUCAGAAACAGCUUAAAGUAUAUGCAAAGUCAAGUUUACUUUGAAACAAAGAUGAGGCCUCUGGAGGAACUGAAAGCUCAAGGUAAUUCUGUCUGUGUAGUACAUCUUCAUAUAUUUCUUAGCCUGCUGCAUUUAGUGGGCAUCUCUGUACCUGUUUCCAAUUCUUCACGCUAACUAGGAUUUCCCUGCUGGUAACUUUAGAGCCAUUAAUGUUGUUACAUAAGAGAAAGGUUUUCAACCAGGAGAGACUUUAUCUUUUUAAUUCUUUAGUUAAAAAAUAAAAUACUUAGUUUUACAUUCUUCUUCCCCCUUUGAUUCAACUCCUUUGCUGUGAUGCCAUUCAAAAACUUUUAGCUUAUAAUUUUUGGUUUAAACACCAUAUUCUAAAAGGUAGUCGUCAUUUUUCAAAUUAGUUUUUACACAUAUGGUUACUUUGAAUUUUGGGCCUAGUGUAUUAAUUUAUAACAAUAGCAACAGCUGGUACUCUGAAAAUACCAUCACGGGAUUUAUAUUCUAGAUGUUCUGUGGAGAUUAGUAUCAUAUAUGUCUCCAUCAGUUGGCCCUCACCAGCUCUGUGUUGAUAGGUUCAGAGCUAAUGAGCUUAAUAUGGUAGGGCUUUUUUGUAAUGUUUUCUUUCCAUGUCUAUAUUCCAUGCUGUACAUUCCAUAGAAACUAAUAAUGGAUUAGUAGAGCUUAUAAUGUAUGGAUUCACUCCUACUGCUGAUAGGAAGAGAAGGCGUGAGAAGGAGAGGGGCACUCUUACAACAGAUUUGCUGGAAAGAGGAUUUGUUCCUUGAAUAUAAAAACAGUGAACAGAAUUCAAAAUUUAACUUUCUGAAUAUUAAAUAUUUUUAUGCUGAAAAAUUCCUUUCCUUAACAGAAAAAACCCAAGUUCUGUGUGGUGUUUCAGUGCAUCACAGCUGCCCUCUUCCUGCUAUGCAGCUGAAUCAUUUCUCCACAACUCUGCUGCUUUCCACCUCUUAAGAGCACCAGCAGUUGGGCAAGAUGAGGUAUUUUUGGCAGAGGAUGGUGAAAGAGAAACUCUGUUCGUAGAAUCUGUGAAUUUUCCAUGUUCUGGUGGGCUCAGUGUGGGAAGCCCUUGAAAUUAGUUGAAUUGUCUAGUAAGCAUCCUUUUUGUCUAUUCUCAGCUACGGCCUUCGCCUCACUCCACAGGAGUACCAAUGUGCUUUUGCAUUAGGCAGUCUCCUGUACCUUGUGGAAAAGGCUGUUCACUUUGCUACCGUUACAACCCCAUCAUCCUUGUAGCAGCGCUGCACCAAGGACUUGGACUAAAUCUAUGCAUUUGAUUUGUUUGUGAAGCAUCAUUCAGUUUUGGCCAUGCUCUCCUGAUUUUGGCACUGCAUUAUGGAUUUGGUUGUGCCUGCCCCAGGCAAGGCCUCGUGUGUUCUCUCUUCUCAAUGCUGUUAAUGCUGUUACUGCAACAUUAUUAAAGUAGUUGAGUAAGUUGAUUUUUGCAGAAUGAACAGGAGUGGCAGACGAUUCUGAAAAAUAACAACUCUCACACUUCCAAAACCAAAAUCACAGUAGUGUCUAAGGUCUAUUUUAUGAAAGUACAAUAUGAUUUUUAUUUUUAAAUUUUAUUCUAUUUAUCCCAAUUAACAAAGUUUCUUCUAUUCUGAAUUCCAGUGUUUAACAAUUAAUUUAUAGUAUAAAGGGUAAUAUUUUCCUCA